UACGUAGGGACCAAGCGUUGUUCGGAUUUACUGGGCGUAAAGGGCGCGUAGGCGGCAAUUCAAGUCAUCUGUGAAAUCUCCGGGCUUAACUCGGAACGGUCAGAUGAUACUGCUUUGCUCGAGUGCGGAAGGGGCAAUCGGAAUUCUUGGUGUAGCGGUGAAAUGCGUAGAUAUCAAGAGGAACACCGGUGGCGAAGGCGGCAUCCUGGACCGGUAUUGACGCUGAGGCGCGAAAGCUAGGGGAGCAAACGGG
rnacentral:rRNA from 1 species